rnacentral:rRNA from 1 species
GGGGAAUCUUGCGCAAUGGCCGCAAGGCUGCCGCAGCGACGCCGCGUGAGGGAUGACGGCCUUCGGGUUGUAAACCUCUGUUGCCCGGGACGAACAAGCGGUUUCGACCGCUCUGACGGUACCCGGUGAGGAAGCACCGGCUAACUCCGUGCCAGCAGCCGCGGUAAUACGGAGGGUGCGAGCGUUGUCCGGAAUCACUGGGCGUAAAGGGCGCGUAGGCGGUGGCUUAAGCGUGUGGUGAAAGUCCGGGGCUCAACCCCGGAUCGGCCGUGCGAACUGGGUCACUUGAGCACUGUAGAGGCAGGUGGAAUUCCGGGUGUAGCGGUGGAAUGCGUAGAGAUCCGGAAGAACGCCAGGGGCGAAGGCGGCCUGCUGGGCAGUGGCUGACGCUGAGGCGCGACAGCGUGGGGAGCAAA